UACGUAGGGGGCUAGCGUUGUCCGGAAUCAUUGGGCGUAAAGCGCGUGUAGGCGGUCCGGUAAGUCCGCUGUGAAAGUCGGGGGGCUCAACCCUCGGAUGCCGGUGGAUACUGUCGGGCUUGAGUACGGAAGAGGCGAGUGGAAUUCCUGGUGUAGCGGUGAAAUGCGCAGAUAUCAGGAGGAACACCAAUUGCGAAGGCAGCUCGCUGGGACGGUACUGACGCUGAGGCGCGAAAGCGUGGGGAGCAAACAGGA
rnacentral:rRNA from 1 species